rnacentral:rRNA from 1 species
UACCAGCACCCCGAGUGGUCGGGACGAUUAUUGGGCCUAAAGCAUCCGUAGCCGGCCUUACAAGUCCUCCGUUAAAUCCAGCUGCUUAACAGAUGGGCUGCGGAGGAUACUAUAAGACUAGGAGGCAGGAGAGGCAAGCGGUACUCAGUGGGUAGGGGUAAAAUCCGUUGAUCCAUUGAAGACCACCAGCGGCGAAGGCGGCUUGCCAGAAUGCGCUCGACGGUGAGGGAUGAAAGCUGGGGGAGCAAACCGG